GACGAACGCUGGCGGCGUGCUUAACACGUGCAAGUCGAACGGAAAGGCCCUGCUUGCAGGGUACUCGAGUGGCGAACGGGUGAGUAACACGUGGGUGAUCUGCCCUGCACUUCGGGAUAAGCCUGGGAAACUGGGUCUAAUACCGGAUAGGAGCCAUUUUUAGUGUGAUGGUUGGAAAGUUUUUUCGGUGUAGGAUGAGCUCGCGGCCUAUCAGCUUGUUGGUGGGGUAAUGGCCUACCAAGGCGGCGACGGGUAGCCGGCCUGAGAGGGUGGACGGCCACAUUGGGACUGAGAUAAGGCCCAGACUCCUACGGGAGGCAGCAGUGGGGAAUAUUGCACAAUGGGCGCAAGCCUGAUGCAGCGACGCCGCGUGGGGGAUGACGGCCUUCGGGUUGUAAACUCCUUUCGCUAGGGACGAAGCUUUUUGUGACGGUACCUAGAUAAGAAGCACCGGCUAACUACGUG
rnacentral:rRNA from 1 species